UUCUGCACAUGGAAAGAGCUCCAGUGCAAUGUACUGGCAGAUUGACUUAGACUGUAAGCUCCCAGUGGGCAGGGCCUGUGUCUUCUACACCAAGUUUGCCAAAGAGGGUGUUUAAGAAGGUAUGGUCUCAUUCCAGGCCAAACUUGGGGUCAGUUGCCCCAUCCGGGUCUACUGUUGGUAGACAGGAAGAGGAACAGGGGUGAAGGACCAGAUUGACAUCGGGGCCAAGGAAGGAGCCUGAGCUCCAGGUGCAUCAUGGGAGACCUGGCCCCCUGUUCCAAGCCUGCUUCCUCAAGGACAUGAUGGUGCAGACAAGACUGGACAGGAGGGAAGCCGUAGCACAGCCCCGAACCGGACCACCGACCCCAUGGACAGCAGAGGACUGACCAGCUACCCACCGGAUGCCAUGGACACUGAUAGAUUGCGCCGGCCCCCCGUUGGGCAAUUGGUUGGCACUGGGCUGCUGCCCCCUGGCCACCGCCGUUGCCCCCCGGACACCCCCUCCCUCCCACCUCCAAGCCCACAAUUGUAUCCCCUCCUUCCAGAUCAUGCCAUUUCCUUUGGGGGUCAAGGGUCAAACACCGCAUCAGAGGGGCCAAACCAGUCCCUUGCAACUCCAGGAGGAGAUGGAGAUGUGUGCGUGUGUGUGCACCUCAUGCGUGAGAGUGAGGGCCGGGACCAGAGCAGGGUGAGAGGGGCCGCCCCUCUUUGGGCCGGUAGAGGGUUAUGGAAACAGGGGUCUAGAGCUUCAGGCAGGUGCUCCGUGGAAGGACCUGAGAGUGGGUGUGAAGUCGCCCCGGGGCCCUUAAUUCUAUAGUCGGUGCGACUUCCUCCUGCCCAGGCCCAUCCUGUUGGUAGCUAUCUGCCCAGCUCUGGCUUCAAGAGUACAGACUCCCUCUACCGUCCGAGGGGGGUGCCCCUGGGGGAGGGGGAUACAGGGACAGAAGUAAUCAGGCGUGUGCCUGUCUUUGUGUAUGCAUGUGUGACUACCCUAUAUCCUCCAUCUCUUCUGGACAAGCAGAAUGAGGAGGGGAGAGGACUAGCAGCACCUGCUAGAGUGGGAAGAUGCAUAGUUGUUUUCCCCCAUCCUACCAACAGAAAUGGCAUAGUCUGGCCCCCUCCUCUUCUCCUCCCCUCUCUGUCCCCUUGGCGGCCUGGGCUCUGUAAGCCCGAAUGCAUCUGUAUGAAAUUAAAAUGGAUACUUUUUUCCUCUUUACCGAGUCCCUUGAUCCAGUGGCAGCU